UUGAUUAUUUAUCUGCUUUCAUAUUUUACAGAUUUACCCAGACCUACACUGACUGUGACACCAGACAGUCCUGUAUUCACUGGAGAGACAGUCAAUCUGACGUGUGUGAUAAACUCUAAUCACAGUGACUGGAGAUAUGAGUGGUAUAAAGGUACAAACAACAGUGUAAAGUUACAGACUUCUGAGCGUUACACUGUAAACACAGACACUCUCACUAUCAGCGGAGUGAAUGAGUCUGAUCAGGAUCAGUUCUGGUGUAGAGGACAGAGAGACGAAAGACCAAAAUCAUCACAGGAGAGUGAACGAAUAAAUCUGUCUGUUAAUGAUCAGCAGCGUCACAUUAACCAGACAUCAGUCCCAAAUCAAUCUGCACAAUCUCAACCGGAAAACUCUCCACUUCAAUCUGGUCAGCCUCAAUAACUAAUUAUUUAAAGGCAUACUUAACACACAAAAAAAUGAAUUAAUAACCUAAACCUAUAUCUGUGGAACAAACACACACACAAAGAUGUAUGGUUAUUUUUUUUUCCCCCAUACAAUGAAAGUCAAUGGGGUCCAAUGUUUUUAUAAGCAAACUUGUUUAACACAGCUCUAGGUGAAACUGCUCUAAAUUUAUUGCUACAUUAUAUAAUCACUAUGCAUCACCAAUAGAAUAAAAUAGUUUGUCUGAUAGAUCUUUAACA
ensembl:lncRNA